rnacentral:rRNA from 1 species
AUGUCCGAGAACUUGGAAGCUAACGCGCGGAUUUGGUUAUUCCAGUUGAAUGAAUCCUUGGACCAUGCAAGCUUCACGCGGCUGGUAAUUACACUAUGGUCUAUUUGGUUUACAAGAAGGAAAGCUAUAUAUGAAUCAAUUUUCCAGAGUCCACAACAGACCACAUGCUUUGUGAACAAUUACAUUGAUGAGCUGGGCCAGUUACAUGCUAGGAAGGAGCAUCAAAUAACACAAAGGGUAGCAUCGACACAGCAGAAAAGGUGGCUUUCACCUCCGAGUGGCAAGGUAAAGUUUAAUGUGGAUGGAGCAGUGGCCAGGUCUCGGCGUGGAGGGGCUGCUGCAGCGAUAUGCCGGGAUCGGGACGGCCAAUAUCUGGGUUCAUCGGCGGUUGUUUUUCAGGGAAUCACUGAUCCGAUGAUGCUCGAGACUUAUGCUUGCAGGGAAGCGUUGGCGUUGGCAGAAGACCUUGCGACAAUGAACAUAUGUGUGGCCUCAGAUUGUCAAGAAGCGGUCAAUGAUAUUAAUAGAGGGACAGGCCCAACGUUGCUCUUAUACAUGAAAUAA